AACAACGAUGAAAGUCAAACUGAAGAAUUACUGUUCUAAGAAUUUGGUGGAAACGGUUAAAAGUCAAAGCCAUACGAAAUCGUGCAGCAGUUGAGACUUGGCCGCUUUCUUCAUCCUCAGAGAAUCGGCCCUUUCAAAAUUCAACCCCACUUUUCGAUUCCUUAAGAAGAGAAUCCGGCGGUUUCAAAUCUCAAUUGACAUGAAUGGAAAUCCACAGAGGAUAAAAGAAAUUCCCUGGCAAAAAGUUGAGACUUAAAUGCGACGAAAGCUGGAGGGAGAGAGACAUGGCCCCGCAAUUGAUUUUGUAGAGAUUAAAAAUCUUUAGAAAAGAAGGUAUUGAUGAGUUUGAUUGGAAGUAAUGUCAGAUGCCUAGCUUUAAGCAUACACAGGCAUGUGGGCGACGGCCUUAUGGCCAUUGGAAAGCGUGGCCGGGCAUGUUAUUAGCCACAUGAUUAAAUUUUAUCUCCGAGCGUGAGACCGGGGGAGGGGGAGGAGGAGGCCACUUGAGCUCGGCCUCAAUGCACGCCGAAAAAGUGGCUGCCACCCCCCUCCGACACCCUUCAAUUUGCUUCAUUUGUUCGUCAAUCGUCUGAUGCACUCUAGGUGUUUGAUGAAAUGUCAAAGAGAGAGAAAAAAAAAAGAUCAACGCUCUGUCGCUAAAAACAGAGUUGUCAGAGAUAAUUAGUCAGAUUUUGAUUAGGGGUGAUCUUGAAAUCAGGUAGUUAGUGCUUAAUGAUGAGGCUUCUCUUUGUUUGAAGA